rnacentral:misc_RNA from 1 species
UUGACCAUUGAUGGUAGAUUCC